rnacentral:rRNA from 1 species
AUGACAACCCUGCGCCAGAGCCAAACUGGCAGAAGCUUACUCUGGGCCUGCAGCAACAGCAAAGGUACAUCUGACACCAUACUUGUGUGGCACAUCGCCACGGCCAUCCUUGAGGUGAGGCACCCACACCAUCAAGGAGAUGGCCGGCCUUCUUCUGUUUCUGACAUGAUGUCGCGCUAUUGCGCGUAUCUGGUGGAGUCCUGCCCCGAGCUACUUCCUGAUGAUGAUGCAUGGAGCAAGUACCUCUACAACAAAGUCAAGAAGGACGCCAACCGAGCCCUCGCCACCGGCAGCAGCACACCAGUGUCGUCCAUGUCGUCAGAAGCGGGUUGCCGACAGCUGAUCGAGAUGUUGGGCGCUAGACAGAACCAUGAGGUGCUCAAGGAUGCCGCGAAGCUCGCGGAGCAGCUGGGGGAGGUGGCCGGAGGUGAGGAUGGCGUGGGAGUUGCUGGCCGGGUUUUGGUCAGAGAUGAUCCUUUACCUGGCUCCGUCGGACAACAUCAAAGGGCACCUGCAGGCCAUCGACCGGGGCGGCGAGCUGAUUACGCUCCUCUGGGCCUUGCUCGCCCACAUCGGGAUCAUCGACAGGCCUGGCGACACCGCUGCAAGUGCUCCAGCCACUGA